rnacentral:rRNA from 1 species
GAUGAACGCUGGCGGCGUGCCUAAUACAUGCAAGUCGAACGCUUCGCUUCGGUGAAGAGUGGCGAACGGGUGAGUAAUACAUAAGUAACCUGGCAUCUACAGGGGGAUAACUGAUGGAAACGUCAGCUAAGACCGCAUAGGUGUAGAGAUCGCAUGAACUCUAUAUGAAAAGUGCUACGGGACUGGUAGAUGAUGGACUUAUGGCGCAUUAGCUUGUUGGUAGGGUAACGGCCUACCAAGGCGACGAUGCGUAGCCGACCUGAGAGGGUGACCGGCCACACUGGGACUGAGACACGGCCCAGACUCCUACGGGAGGCAGCAGUAGGGAAUUUUCGGCAAUGGGGGAAACCCUGACCGAGCAACGCCGCGUGAAGGAAGAAGUAAUUCGUUAUGUAAACUUCUGUCAUAGAGGAAGAACGGUGGAUAUAGGGAAUGAUAUCCAAGUGACGGUACUCUAUAAGAAAGCCACGGCUAACUACGUG